rnacentral:tRNA from 13 species
UGCAUCGGCCGGGAAUCGAACCCGGGCCGCCCGUGUGGCAGGCGAUCAUUCUACCACUGAACCACCGAUGC